CAGGGUCACCAUGGAGGAUAAGAAGGUAGACACUAUAAUGAAUUGGCCACUCCCACAGACUCCUAAAGCACUUCAAAGGUUCUUGGGCUUUGGAAACUUUUACAGCCGAUUUAUAUGCGAUUUCUGUGCCAUCACUACACCUCUCACUUCCAUGUUAAAAGGAAAACCUAAGUACUUCAGUGGAACCCAUGAGCGGAGCAGGCUUUUCAGGCUUUAAAGAAAGCCUUCACAGAGACUCCAGUAAUGCAGCAUCCUGAUCCGGAGGAGCCCUUCGUGGUUGAGGUGGACACGGAGACAGGAGUCGGAGCCGUCCUUUCCCAACAUAUUGAUCACGUCCAGACCAGGAUCCUGGAAUGCCAAGCCUGAUGUCCUUUUUGGAAUGUAUGAAGACAGAUUAAUCACCUGGGAACACUCUUCACUUGCUGCCGGUCAUCCAAGAAAUGUUAAGACCCAACAGCUGAUUUCACACAAAUACUGGUGGAAGUCUGACAAUCGCAUGCAUAACUUCAUCUCUUCCUGUUCGGACUGUGCACACCUAAGGACCCCACGGAUGCUACCUGCUGGUACGCUUCAGCAUCACCAGCUGUAGUCCAGUGGAUGUGGCGGAGUGAACAGGUCUGGGAAAAUAUCCCUCAGCACAUGCAACAGGCCAAAAGACCAUUUCAGCGGCAUGCAGACUGCCCUGGGACACCACCUCCUACCUUCAUGCCUGGAGACAGAGGGGUUCUCCUGAAUAUACAAUCCAUGAAAUACUGGACUCCAGAAGGAGCAAUGAGCAUCAGUAUAUCAUCGAUUGGGAGGGGUUCGGUCCUGAGGAGGGAUGUAUUGGAUUCCACAGCACGCACCGGGAUAGACCUGCUCCUUAUCCCAGAAGUCGUCCUCGUGGCCGUUUGGCGUUGUCAGCUGACUCUGG